rnacentral:lncRNA from 1 species
GGACUCUGUUGUCCGUCACCUGCGGGCACUGGAACAAUACGGUGCGCUUCUUUAUCAUGGCCGACCCUAAAUGAGUGGUUGAGCGGCCGAACUGCCACUGCCAUAGCUCUCUGAAGCCAGCCGAAGUUCAGGGGUCGUCAGCCGCGGAGAGCAGAUAAGGCAGAGAUACUGGGACUGGUCAGAUAGUGAAUUUGAAUGGCAGGUGUCAUAGUGCUUUGUACCAUGAAAAUUAAAAAAACACUAAGAAGAUAUUUUCUUUUAAAAUUCUUUGCUGAGUUAUAUUAAGGAUUGGCCAGCUGUGAAUGCAAAGGCCCAAACAGUGAUACCACCGUCCUUGCUUCCCUGAAUGCUGAAGUGUAACACCCUGAAUGCUGAAGAAUAACACCAGAGGCAAGUGUAGAGUGGAAAGUAAAAGGCUUUAUUAAAGGACACCAGAGGAAGAAGGGGAC